GUCUUGGCAGCCCACCCCAAAGCCCAAACUCCUGCCCGCAUGCUGGGAAGGUGAGCCCUUGCCUGGAGAGCCCAGCAGGGGAAAUAGAAGGAGGGAAGGAGGCCUGCUCCUUCCCCGGAGCUCUGCUCUGCGGCUGCAGGAAGACCCGCAGAGGCCCUGGGCAGCAGAACUGUGGACAGCAAGGCUGGAGUUGUGAAACCCAACCACUCAGCUGGAUUCCAGAAGCUCAGGUGGUGGUGACUAAACCUGGCCUUACUUAAAAUGCAUGACUUUAUUGUCUUUCAAUGUAUUUUCAGUAAACUUCAUCCUCUCCAUUACUAUUUUCUUUUCUUCGGAAACAAGCAACAGAUCUUUGUAAAAAAAAUAC
rnacentral:lncRNA from 1 species